rnacentral:misc_RNA from 1 species
UGCCCUGCCGGAGACACAGCGAUGGUGCCCUUCUUUGUCCAGAUCAAAUGCAAGCUGGGCCAGUCCUAUACGGUCGCAAACGCCAUUUCCGAGGCAGAGAUCGCGUCGGAAAUCUACUCGACUGCGGGCGAUUACGAUCUGCUGGUCAAGUUCUACGUCGACAGCGGGACCGACAUCGGCCAUUUCGUGAACGAGAAGCUGCAGGUCAUUCCCGGCAUCCAGGACACCUACACCAUCAUCACGUUCAAGGCGUUCGGUACGUAAGAGGACAUGAUCUUCUCCGAAAACCGGU